GUGGGGGAUAUUGCACAAUGGGGGAAACCCUGAUGCAGCGACGCCGCGUGAAGGAAGACGUACUUCGGUAUUUAAACUUCUAUCAGCAGGGAAGAAGAUGACGAUACCUGACUAAGAAGCCCCGGCUAACUACGUUCCAGCAGCCGCGGUAAUACGUAGGGGGCAAGCGUUAUCCGGAUUUACUGGGUGUAAAGGGAGCGUAGACGGUGUAGCAAGUCUGAUGUGAAAACCCGGGGCUCAACUCCGGGAGUGCAUUGGAAACUGUUUUACUUGAGUGGUGGAGGGGCAAGCGGAAUUCCGGGUGUAGCGGUGAAAUGCGUAGAUAUCAGGAAGAACACCGGUGGCGAAGGCGGCUUGCUGGACGGUAACUGACGUUGAGGCUCGAAAGCGUGGGGAGCAAACAGGAUUAGAAACCCCUGUAGUCC
rnacentral:rRNA from 1 species